AGAAAACUUCCAUGUUGGUGGGAAAACCAUUAAUGACCUAAGUUUCGAAGCUAGUGAGGAUUCUGAUGAUGCAGUAAAAUUGACCCGACGAAAAAAAGUGACAAUGAACCCAAAAAUAAACAAACAAACAAAUCUUCUGGUGCUAGUGUAACUGAUGAAAAUAACAGCGAAACUUUCACUAAUUCUGUCUCCGGACCAAAUUCAAAACCAACUGGUGGACAUCAACCUCGCAAAUCAAGAUCCAAGAAAUUGAAAAAAACCGCGUUUCUGUGCCCCCCCCCCCAAAAG